rnacentral:tRNA from 1 species
GCCGAAGUGGCGGAAUGGCAGACGCAGUCGACUCAAAAUCGACCGGGGUGACCCCCCGUGAGGGUUCAACUCCCUCCUUCGGCACCA